rnacentral:lncRNA from 1 species
CUUGGUAAACAGUUCAGGAAAGAAUGCAGAUCCACCUAAAUUUAAAUCCAGGUCAUGUAGCCUGAGCUGAACCUAAGCAGAUGUCUAAGGGCUAUUCAGAUUUACAAUACUGUUUCUUGGUGGCUCCCUGAAUCUGAUAACCUGAAAUGUGACUGAUAAGUCCCCAGUUUGGGAACAACUGGGAGCACUCACUGGUGCAUUCAACACUAGGAUCGCUUCUGCCAGCACACGCUGAAAAACUUUUGUCCCGUGCAAAUCAUUCACAAUGUAAACAGCAGGUAGAAAGAGUGGCAGAGCCAAGAAAGAGCUAUUCCUUGUUGAAGUAAUUGAGGGCAGCAGGUACAAGAGCCCAGGAGUGUUCAAAUGCUAACAAGAAUGUAUGAGGAAAACAGAACACACAGCAAUUCAUAGAAAUGCAAGGGUGUCGAGUUCUUUUCUCCUACAAACAGCAUUUCUCACUAGAUGGAGACAAAGUAGUCAGCCGCAACCCCCACCAAAUGGAUGGCAUCCAUUAACUCCUGCUGGCCACCAGAUAGGCACUAAGUGGAAGGAAGUUGACAGAUGAAGAAGAUACGCGAUCCUCAUGAGAAACGUUGAGCUAUAUCCUACCUCCUGUUUCCCUUCCUCUCUCCUCUCUGAAAUGAAGCCCCACUUACAUCCCAGAAGGAGUAUGUAAUCUGGAGGAUUGUUAAUCAUUGUAGUAACGGGAGAAGAGAAACAGCUUCAGUUCCCCAACUCCCAUAUGUGGUUCAUCUUCAGUGAACUGCACCUCACUCAGCUUUUCCAUCGACAUGGUAUCACUGCAUGUGCAAAGCAACUCAAUGGUCUAAGCCAUGGCUGGCAUAUCCAAGGGUUUUCUUCAUAUAGCCCGACAACAAGAGGCAUCUUGCACAGCUGCUGCUACUGACAAGUAAGGAGAGAAAAAUCACAGGAGGAAGCAGAAGUAAG